rnacentral:rRNA from 1 species
AUACGGAGGGUGCGAGCGUUAAUCGGAAUUACUGGGCGUAAAGCGCGCGUAGGCGGUUUGGUCAGUCGGAUGUGAAAGCCCCAGGCUCAACCUGGGAAUGGCAUUCGAUACUGCCUGACUAGAGUAUGGUAGAGGGAAGUGGAAUUUCCGGUGUAGCGGUGAAAUGCGUAGAUAUCGGAAGGAACACCAGUGGCGAAGGCGACUUCCUGGGCCAAUACUGACGCUGAGGUGCGAAAGCGUGGGGAGCAAACAGGAUUAGAAACCCCGGUAGUCC